GAUCAUGGCUCAGGAUGAACGCUAGCUACAGGCUUAACACAUGCAAGUCGAGGGGCAGCAUGGACCCAGCUUUGCUGGGUUUGAUGGCGACCGGCGCACGGGUGAGUAACGCGUAUCCAACCUGCCCUUUACUCCGGGAUAGUCUCCUGAAAGGGAGUUUAAUACCGGAUGUGUUUGUCUUUCCGCAUGGGAGCGACAAAUAAAGAUUAAUUGGUAAAAGGAUGGGGAUGCGUCCCAUUAGCUUGUUGGG
rnacentral:rRNA from 1 species